CCAAUAUGAACUACAUUAAUACAAAUAAUGAAAAAUAAAAAUAUUUGUAAUAGCACUUGAAUAGAAAAAGAAAUAUAAAAUUUGUGUAUUUUUUCUAUAGUUCUAGUUGUACAAUGAUCAAGUUGCUUGAGAUGACUGUUCUUGUUGUGGCUCUAGUACCAGCUGAAGAGGAAUUUUGUUUUAUAUUUGAAAACUGUGAAGUAUCAGUACAGACCAUGAAGUUCAGAAAUGCGGGUCUAAUUUGUUCAACACAGUGUUCAAGGGAAACAUAAUGGAUGGCAAGGAUAAAUAACAUUUCACAAGUACAGUCUUCAAUGCAUCACCCACUUCACAUGGAGAAGGUAUGGUCAACAUUGUCUCCCCUGGAAGUAAAUAGGCUUGGAUCUAGCUGACCAUUCCUGUAGUACGAUAUAGUGGUUGGUUAGUGAUGCAGGAACUUGGACCUCUGCCACCAGGAGUUAGAGUUGGAACCAGAGCAUACAUAAGACUUAGAGCAGUAUCCAUCAUUACAAGCCACAGUCCAAUCUAAGACAUAAUUGCCAAAUGUUAUGAACAUGUGGUGCUAAAUAAACUGUUGGGAGGUCAUAGUCUCAUAGCUAAACCAAUAACCUAAGAGAGGCACUCUGUCCAUUCUUCCUGCGGCUGGCAAUGAUUGGUCAGUCUUGUUGUUUGGUUUGUUUCCUAACAGAUGUUUAGGCCUGGAGAAUCCCUUACAGUCAGGGAUGGAUAGUAUUGAGCUGUCUGCAGAUAUCUUGUACACCAGGCAGAACUCUUCAACGUUCAUCCAUGUCAUGAGAAGAGGAUACAGCUGGUUGGAGCAUAUGUAUCAGGUAGUUACACAGGAUACAGAAGAUCCCUGUAAUAAGCUACUAUACCAUAAAUGUAGAGGUAAACAAUUGUUUGUAUUCUUC
rnacentral:lncRNA from 1 species